AUCCGCUUCAUAAUACAAACAAAAAGGGAUUUAGUAUUGAUUAACAAUUUAACAUCCAUCUGAUCCCGCCAUUCAAAUAAUCAUCCUGUUCAUGUGAUCGAAGCUUAUGAUGUCAGAGGAGAAGCAUUCUCCAGUCUUAAAAUACAGAAAUCAAGUUUAUUAAUGGCGAAAGCCUAAAGAGAUUCAGACGAUUUCACAUAUUUCCACAAUUCUAGGUCUAUUUGCCAAAUUGCUCAAGCAUAAAUAGCUUAAGGUGAUGAAGAUCGGGAGUUGCGUUUAGAUUCUAUCUUUAUUGGAAUAAAUCAAUGUACACUUACAAAAGGCAUACAGUGGACGAUGCGACACUAGGUAGCGAUUUGUUACCAUCAUGACAAGUAUGAUCUAAAGUCAAAUAGUCAACAACCAGAGUUUGCUACCACUGAGCGUCUUCAGGUUUGUAUAUCUGUGUAAACUAUAGGCCCAGCCAUUACGGUCCAAGGGGAUAGUCAAGCUCACUACAUGAAGCUUGGGUGUAGACUCGUUAAUUAAAUGCACUUUAAUCUAGGCUUGAGCUUAUUUAAACUUGCCUCGAUUGGAGCUUUUAGCGAGUCGAUCUCGAGUAGCUCAUUAGCAAUUCUUCUCGUUUACAAUGGUCAUAUAUUUUUUUAUUUGUUGGAAUGAACUUAAACGCUACAAGCCUACAAGCGUUUAUUCUUGUUCUUGUGCAUUCAGUUUGCUUGUGCAAAUGAUCGAUGCUGAUUGCUGGAUACGUGAAAAAACACCCAUUUUAAUUUUUCUUGUUUAUAGCAAACUUUUAUAUAAAUUAGUUGCGUCUUGCCCGCCCGCUGCAAUAACAUUUACUGGGCUGAUGUAAAGCAAAAAUGGGCUGUGGGCUUUUACUUU